CUUCCCUCUGGCGGGGGAUAACCUUCCGAAAGGAGGGCUAAUACCGCAUAUGACCACGGCCACGAAAGUGGCUGCGGUAAAAGCAGGCCUCUAUACAUAAGCUUGCACCAGAGAAUGAGUCCGCGGCCCAUCAGCUAGUUGGCGGGGUAAUGGCCCACCAAGGCAACGACGGGUAGCUGGUCUGAGAGGAUGGCCAGCCACACUGGGACUGAGACACGGCCCAG
rnacentral:rRNA from 1 species